CUUUACCGGAAGCAGCCCUCUGGGGGGGGGGGGCUGGAGCCCGGUUUUAUUUGUUUUAUUCCCCUGUCCCAACGACACUCGCCUGAGUCACCACCUCUGUCUGGCAGAGACUACAUUCUCUAUCAGUGUUUCAGGCUUAAAGCUUCUCAACAUUUUCUUUAAGGCAUUCAGAAUUGUCCUGGGGACCAGACCCCAGAACCCGAAAGACCCUGCCCAAAGUCGACACCUGAAAACCGAGCUCUGCACUGAGCUCAGUGACCGAGAGACCCAGGAGUCUAAAAACCUUCACCUUCAACUCGAGGGGCACCAGAAAGCACCGUGUGGCGUAGUGGCCCUGCCUGGCUGCGGGGACUUCGGUUGGGUCCCUCAUCCUGGGCCUUCUGCAGGGCGGGCCUGAGCUGUGGGAAGGAGCGCGUGUGCUGGGAGUUCUGUGAGGGGACCUGGAUGUGAGGUGCCCCGGGCUGCGGGUGAGAGGGCGCUGCAGCCAGGCCCAGCAUCGCCAACAGCCGGCCCGGCAGGGCCCACCAGGGGGCCACCCUGGCCACGGCCCCGGCCCGGGAAGACGCACGGACUGUUCUUCCCAGGAGCCUGGAAAGAAAGCACCACGUUCUGAGUCAGCGGGACUGUGGCCUGAGAUGUGGCUUUUCCAACCAGCACCCAGGGGAUGAUGGAAAGGUUGUAGGUGACUUUGGUUUCUAGACCCUGCUUCAUUAUUGUGCCUCGACUUUCUGGGGCGCCAGCCUGGGAGGUUUAGGCUGCAGCCGAUGUGCGCCCCUGGCCCUCUCUCUUCUGCAUUAAAAUCACUACCACCGGGCACAGACGUCUUGGCUGGAGCGUUCCGCUGUGCCGACCCUGAGACAGGCAUCUGGGUGGCACGUCUCUCUAACGACCGAAGCCAGGAGGCGGGAAUGGGAGUACCCCCAACCCUGGAGGAUUAGGGGAGCAGGGCCUGGGGAGGGGCUCUGCUUUCCUCCCCGUGCCCAAGAGCGCCGCUCCGUCUGGAGGGACAGGGCUUCCAGGAGGCUGGGCUUCGGAGCUGGCCCUGAACCUGAGGAAAGGCCACCCAGCCCCGGCAC
rnacentral:lncRNA from 1 species